GAUUAACGCUAGCGGCAGGCCUAAUACAUGCAAGUCGAACGGCAGCGGGUGUAGCAAUACAUGCCGGCGGGUGGCGCACGGGUGCGUAACGCGUAUGCAAUCUACCUGUAACUGGGGAAUAGCCUUCCGAAAGGAAGAUUAAUACCGCAUAAUAUCACGAAGUGGCAUCACUUUGUGAUCAAAACUCCGGUGGUUACAGAUGAGCAUGCGUGACAUUAGCUAGUUGGUGAGGUAACGGCUCACCAAGGCGACGAUGUCUAGGGGGUCUGAGAGGAUGACUCCCCAC
rnacentral:rRNA from 1 species